rnacentral:rRNA from 1 species
GCUUGCACUCAAUUGGAAAGAGGAGUGGCGGACGGGUGAGUAACACGUGGGUAACCUACCCAUCAGAGGGGGAUAACACUUGGAAACAGGUGCUAAUACCGCAUAACAGUUUAUGCCGCAUGGCAUAAGAGUGAAAGGCGCUUUCGGGUGUCGCUGAUGGAUGGACCCGCGGUGCAUUAGCUAGUUGGUGAGGUAACGGCUCACCAAGGCCACGAUGCAUAGCCGACCUGAGAGGGUGAUCGGCCACACUGGGACUGAGACACGGCCCAGACUCCUACGGGAGGCAGCAGUAGGGAAUCUUCGGCAAUGGACGAAAGUCUGACCGAGCAACGCCGCGUGAGUGAAGAAGGUUUUCGGAUCGUAAAACUCUGUUGUUAGAGAAGAACAAGGACGUUAGUAACUGAACGUCCCCUGACGGUAUCUAACCAGAAAGCCACGGCUAACUACGUGCCAGCAGCCGCGGUAAUACGUAGGUGGCAAGCGUUGUCCGGAUUUAUUGGGCGUAAAGCGAGCGCAGGCGGUUUCUUAAGUCUGAUGUGAAAGCCCCCGGCUCAACCGGGGAGGGUCAUUGGAAACUGGGAGACUUGAGUGCAGAAGAGGAGAGUGGAAUUCCAUGUGUAGCGGUGAAAUGCGUAGAUAUAUGGAGGAACACCAGUGGCGAAGGCGGCUCUCUGGUCUGUA